CCUACGGGUGACAGCAGUGAGGAAUAUUGCACAAUGGGCGGAAGUCUGACGCAGCCAUGCCGCGUGCAGGAAGGCGGCUCUAGGAGUUGUAUACUGCUCUUGUACAACGGUAAAUCUGAAUACGUGUAUUAAGCUGACAGUCCUGUCCGAAUAAGGAUCGUGUAACUCCGCGCCAGCAGCGGCGGUAAUACGGAGGAUCCAAGCGUUAUCCGGAUUUAUUGGGUGUAAAGGGUGCGUAGGCGGAUUGUAAAGUUGGAGGUGAAAGGUCCAGGCUUAACUCGGGAACUGCCUCUAAUACUGGUGAUCUGGAGAGUGGGAGCGGUAAGCGGAAUGUAUGGUGUAGCGGUGAAAUGCUUAGAGAUCAGGCGGAACACCGAUUGCGAAGGCGGCUUACUGGUCUAUAACUGACGUUGAGGCACGAAAGCGUGGGGAGCAAACAGGAUUAGAUACCCCUGUAGUC
rnacentral:rRNA from 1 species